rnacentral:rRNA from 1 species
AUUGAACGCUGGCGGCAGGCCUAACACAUGCAAGUCGAGCGAGCGCCGGACAGGGGAGUGAUGUAUGGGGAAUGCGCGAGAGAGGGGGGUAACACCUGUAAACAGUAGAGAAUACCGCAUACUAUCUGAGUACCCAUAUGGGAUUAGCUAGUAGGUGAGAUAAUGGCUCACCUAGGCGACGAUCCCUAUCUGGUCUGAGAGGGUGAUCAGCCACACUGGGACUGAGACACGGCCCAGACUCCUACGGAGGCAGCAGUGGGGAAUAUUGCACAAUGGGCGCAAGCCUGAUGCAGCCAUGCCGCGUGUAUGAAGAAGGCCUUCGGGUUGUAAAGUACUUUCAGUCGGGAGGCGUUACCGACAGAAGAAGCACCGGCUAACUCCGUGCCAGCAGCCGCGGUAAUUC